rnacentral:lncRNA from 1 species
CUUCAUUGUCUAACAAAAUAAACAGGCAAUUACUUUCCGCCAAGGAGAAGGGAAAAAGUAACAUACUAUGAUCCAAAGAGAAGACUCAAAAACUUUCUUGAAUUGUGGGAGGGAUCUAUACAUAGAUAAUUUGAACCAAUUCUUUGGCAGAUUAACUGUAUCCAUUGCGUGAAUUCACGUGUAGUUGCAUGCUUUAAAGACUAAUUUUAAUUAUUUUAACACUUAAUAAUUCACUUAUAAGUAACUUUUGAAGCUUAUCCAAACACUGGGUGAUACCAUCGCUGGUCUAAACUAUGGAAAUUGAACACUGAAAUCUUCUCUGCCGCUGCAGUCGGAAUUUUAUUGUUUAUAAUUAUCCAAAAAAAUGAAUAGAAUAAUUAAAAUAUACUUCCAGAGCCAGGGGUGUUUAUAUACGAAUUGACAAUGUUUUUACAGCAUUAUGGCGGUGCUUUGCUUGCGGUGCCGCGGUGGUACGAUACCGGUUACGACGGAGAAAGGCGGUGGGAAGAUGAUUAUUAC